rnacentral:misc_RNA from 1 species
UUUCCGUAGGUGAACCUGCGGAAGGAUCAUUACCGAGUGAGGGCCCUCUGGGUCCAACCCCCCACCCGUGUUUAUCGUACCUUGUUGCUUCGGCGGGCCCGCCUCACGGCCGCCGGGGGGCACCCGCCCCCGGGCCCGCGCCCGCCGAAGACACCAUUGAACGCUGUCUGAAGAUUGCAGUCUGAGCAUCUUAGCUAAAUCAGUUAAAACUUUCAACAACGGAUCUCUUGGUUCCG